CCUACGGGAGGCAGCAGUGAGGAAUAUUGGUCAAUGGGCGGGAGCCUGACCCAGCCAAGCCGCGUGAGGGAAGAAGGUACAGCGUAUCGUAAACCUCUUUUGUCAGGGCACAAAAGCGGGGACUAGUCCCCGGAUGAGGGUACCUGAUGAAAAAGCAUCGGCUAACUCCGUGCCAGCAGCCGCGGUAAUACGGAGGCUCCGAGGGGUAUCCGGAUUUAUUGGGUUUAAAGGGAGCGGAGGUGGAUUGUUAAGUCAGUUGUGAAAGUUUGCGGCUCAAACGUGAAAUUGCAGUUUAAACUGGCAGUCUUGAGUACAGUAGAGGUGGGCGGAAUUCGUGGUGUAGCGGUGAAAUGCUUAGAUAUCACGAAGAACUCCGAGUGCGAAGGCAGUUCACUGGACUGCAACUGACACUGAGGCUCGAAAGUGUGGGUAUCAAACAGGAUUAGAUACCCCAUAGUC
rnacentral:rRNA from 1 species